AAUCUACAUUCACAUCAGCAAAUGCAAGAAGAUCUGUUUUUCUAUCUCGUUACGGCUUAACCAGGAUUUUACUUACAUUUUGUCAAGAUUAAAACAACGUGUAAUAAUUUCCUGAAUGGGAAGGUUUGCCUGCAAUUUUCGACAGGCAGAAUUUCCUGUGAAACAAAUAUUAAUCUCUCCAAUUCUGAAAGUGACAGAUGGAGUUUCAGGGAAGUUAUACAACUUGGCCAAGACCACGGAGUUAGUUAGUGUAGUGCUUAGAUUUAGUUCAGGACGUGGCAAGCAGGAACCCACCAUGUAUUUAGGGUGUGCGUGUGGAAGAGGCAGUGCUGAAGUUCAAACCUGAUUCCCAUGCUGUGGUGUGCAGAAUAAUGGCUCCGGAAAGGUGUCCAAGUCCUAAUCCCCGGGACCUGCAAAUAUGUUACCUUCUGUGGCAAAUGGGACUCUGCAGAUGUGAUUUCAAAACGAGAAGAUUAUCUGGGAUUAUCCAGGUGGGGCCAGUGUAAAUUACAAGCGUCCAGAGAAGGGAAGGAGGGAGGCAGGAGGGUCAGAAUCGGAGAAAAGGAUGUGACAGUGAAAGCAGGUGUUGGGAUGAUGUGGAAGAGACCAUGAGCCAAGGAAUGCAAGCUUUAAAAGCCAGAAAAGGCAAGGAAAUGAAUUCUGUCCUAAAACCUUCUUAAGGAGCAUGCAGCCUUGCUAACCUAUACUAUAGACUUCUGCCCUCCAGAACUAGGAGAUAAUGAAUUUAUGUUGUUUCCAGCCACGAAAUUCAUGGCAGCUACUUACAGCAACAAUGGGAAACAUACACAGUCACUCACUAUUUCCAUGACACUGAGCUCUUAAGAUAUCCCCAGCAGACCAAAACCAAACAGAACAAAACAGAGUAGAGAAUAGUGAAGCAAUAAUUUUGGAGGGGCAGUGGUCAACAUACACAUAAAAUUUAAAUACUUGUAUAGAUACAUAUACACACGAAGAUAUAUUCACUCAAUAAACACUUUUUGGGCACCUGCUACACGUCAGGCAGCAAACCAAAUGCUGGAGGUUCAUCAGUAAACAAAGCAGGUGAAAUUUUUGCCACCAUAGAAUUUAUCGUAUUCGAGCGGGAGCUUGUGUACAAAAAUGUUUAUUCAUCAGAUCAUUUUGUGAACUAUCAUUAUUUCUCAGAUAUUGCUCCUAAAUGUCCAAAGAAGGAGGCUAGUUAAAUUCUCUUCAUACAUCUCUACUGAGCGGAAUAUCAUAUGGCUAUUAAAAGGUGUAUGUGGCAAGCUAUCUCGUGCGUGUUAUUAUAUGCUGAAAAAAAGCAGUUACAAGACAAUAAUGUCUAGUACGGUCCCAUUUGUCUAAAAACAUUAGCAAAAAACCAAUGCUUUCCCAUGACUGCUUAGAAAAGCUCUGGAAUUAAAUCUCUUAGCAAAAGCGAUUGUUCCUGGGGAGGCGAAAUGAGUGGCCAGCAUCGCACUAAGACCUUUACUUUCCCGUUGAUUCCCUUCCAUGAUGUUGGUCUUGCUUACCAUGAACAUAUAUUGCUUGUAUAAUAAAAAUGAAGCCAAAACCAA